UCCCUUCGGGGCAUUGGAGACAGGUGGUGCAUGGUUGUCGUCAGCUCGUGUCGUGAGAUGUUGGGUUAAGUCCCGCAACGAGCGCAACCCCUAUUUCCAGUAGCCAGCAAGAAAGAUGGGAACUCUGGAGAGACUGCCCGGGAUAACUGGGAGGAAGGCGGGGAUGACGUCAAAUCAUCAUGCCCCUUAUGAUCAGGGCUACACACGUGCUACAAUGGCGUAAACAAAGGGAAGCGAAGUGGUGACACGAAGCAAAUCCGAAAAACAACGUCUCAGUUCGGAUUGUAGUCUGCAACUCGACUACGUGAAGCUGGAAUCGCUAGUAAUCGCGAAUCAGAAUGUCGCGGUGAAUACGUUCCCGGGUCUUGUACACACCGCCCGUCACACCAUGGGAGUCGGAAAUGCCCGAAGUCAGUGACCCAACCGAGAGGAGGGAGCUGCCGAAGGUGGAGCCGGUAACUGGGGUGAAGUCGUAACAAGGUAGCCGUAUCGGAAGGUGCGGC
rnacentral:rRNA from 1 species